UUAAUGAGAGUUUGAUCCUGGCUCAGGACGAACGCUGGCGGCGUGCCUAAUACAUGCAAGUAGAACGCUGAAGAGAGGAGCUUGCUCUUCUUGGAUGAGUUGCGAACGGGUGAGUAACGCGUAGGUAACCUGCCUUGUAGCGGGGGAUAACUAUUGGAAACGAUAGCUAAUACCGCAUAACAAUGGAUGACACAUGUCAUUUAUUUGAAAGGGGCAAUUGCUCCACUACAAGAUGGACCUGCGUUGUAUUAGCUAGUAGGUGAGGUAACGGCUCACCUAGGCGACGAUACAUAGCCGACCUGAGAGGGUGAUCGGCCACACUGGGACUGAGACACGGCCCAGACUCCUACGGGAGGCAGCAGUAGGGAAUCUUCGGCAAUGGGGGCAACCCUGACCGAGCAACGCCGCGUGAGUGAAGAAGGUUUUCGGAUCGUAAAGCUCUGUUGUAAGUCAAGAACGAGUGUGAGAGUGGAAAGUUCACACUGUGACGGUAGCUUACCAGAAAGGGACGGCUAACUACGUGCCAGCAGCCGCGGUAAUACGUAGGUCCCGAGCGUUGUCCGGAUUUAUUGGGCGUAAAGCGAGCGCAGGCGGUUUGAUAAGUCUGAAGUUAAAGGCUGUGGCUCAACCAUAGUUCGCUUUGGAAACUGUCAAACUUGAGUGCAGAAGGGGAGAGUGGAAUUCCAUGUGUAGCGGUGAAAUGCGUAGAUAUAUGGAGGAACACCGGUGGCGAAAGCGGCUCUCUGGUCUGUAACUGACGCUGAGGCUCGAAAGCGUGGGGAGCGAACAGGAUUAGAUACCCUGGUAGUCCACGCCGUAAACGAUGAGUGCUAGGUGUUGGAUCCUUUCCGGGAUUCAGUGCCGCAGCUAACGCAUUAAGCACUCCGCCUGGGGAGUACGACCGCAAGGUUGAAACUCAAAGGAAUUGACGGGGGCCCGCACAAGCGGUGGAGCAUGUGGUUUAAUUCGAAGCAACGCGAAGAACCUUACCAGGUCUUGACAUCCCGAUGCUAUUUCUAGAGAUAGAAAGUUACUUCGGUACAUCGGUGACAGGUGGUGCAUGGUUGUCGUCAGCUCGUGUCGUGAGAUGUUGGGUUAAGUCCCGCAACGAGCGCAACCCCUAUUGUUAGUUGCCAUCAUUCAGUUGGGCACUCUAGCGAGACUGCCGGUAAUAAACCGGAGGAAGGUGGGGAUGACGUCAAAUCAUCAUGCCCCUUAUGACCUGGGCUACACACGUGCUACAAUGGUUGGUACAACGAGUUGCGAGUCGGUGACGGCAAGCUAAUCUCUUAAAGCCAAUCUCAGUUCGGAUUGUAGGCUGCAACUCGCCUACAUGAAGUCGGAAUCGCUAGUAAUCGCGGAUCAGCACGCCGCGGUGAAUACGUUCCCGGGCCUUGUACACACCGCCCGUCACACCACGAGAGUUUGUAACACCCGAAGUCGGUGAGGUAACCUUUUGGAACCAGCCGCCUAAGGUGGGAUAGAUGAUUGGGGUGAAGUCGUAACAAGGUAGCCGUAUCGGAAGGUGCGGCUGGAUCACCUCCUUUCUAAGGAA
rnacentral:rRNA from 2 species